AACGAACGCUGGCGGCAGGCUUAACACAUGCAAGUCGAACGCCCCGCAAGGGGAGUGGCAGACGGGUGAGUAACGCGUGGGAAUCUACCCAGAACUUCGGAACAACUGAGGGAAACUUCAGCUAAUACCGGAUACGCCCUACGGGGGAAAGAUUUAUCGGUUUUGGAUGAGCCCGCGUUGGAUUAGCUAGUUGGUGGGGUAAUGGCCUACCAAGGCGACGAUCCAUAGCUGGUCUGAGAGGAUGAUCAGCCACACUGGGACUGAGACACGGCCCAGACUCCUACGGGAGGCAGCAGUGGGGAAUAUUGGACAAUGGGCGAAUGCCUGAUCCAGCCAUGCCGCGUGAGUGAUGAAGGCCUUAGGGUUGCAAAGCUCUUUCAGUAGGGAAGAUAAUGACGGUACCUACAGAAGAAGCCCCGGCUAACUUCGUGCCAGCCGCCGCGGUAAAAC
rnacentral:rRNA from 1 species